rnacentral:rRNA from 1 species
GACAGAGGGUGCUAGCGUUGUUCGGAAUUACUGGGCGUAAAGGGCGCGUAGGCGACCCGUUUAGUCGGGUGUGAAAUCCCGGGGCUCAACCCCGGAACUGCAUUCGAUACUGGCGGGCUUGAGACCGGAAGAGGUGGGUGGAAUACCCAGUGUAGAGGUGAAAUUCGUAGAUAUUGGGUGGAACACCGGUGGCGAAGGCGGCUCACUGGUCCGGUUCUGACGCUGAGGCGCGAAAGCGUGGGGAGCAAACAGG